UAAACCAGCAUCACCUCUCUACAACGAGACCCAUGACUGCUAGUCUUUCGGCUGGGGCGACCACGGAGAAUAAUAAAACCCCCGAGAUGAAAGGAAACAUCCUUAUCCUAGAACUACUAUUCCAAGAAUCAACUAUGACAUUAUUGACCCAAUAUUUGAUCAACGAACCAAGCUACCCUGGGGAUAACAGCGCAAUCCAU
rnacentral:rRNA from 1 species